rnacentral:misc_RNA from 1 species
GAUGAAGAACGUAGCGAAACGCGAUAUGUAAUGUGAAUUGCAGAAUUCAGUGAAUCAUCGAAUCUUUGAACGCACAUUGCGCCCGUCAGUAUUCUGGCGGGCAUGCCUGUUCGAGCGUCAUUACGCCCCUCAAGUCCCCUGUGGACUUGGUGUUGGGGAUCGGCGAGGCUGGUUUUCCAGCACAGCCGUCCCUUAAAUUAAUUGGCGGUCUCGCCGUGGCCCUCCUCUGCGCAGUAGUAAAACACUCGCAACAGGAGCCCGGCGCGGUCCACUGCCGUAAAACCCCCCAACUUUUUAUAGUUGACCUCGAAUCAGGUAGGACUACCCGCUGAACUUAAGCAUAUCAAUAAGCGGAGGA